rnacentral:rRNA from 1 species
GCAUAUCAAUAAGCGGAGGAAAAAGAAACUAACAAGGAUUCCCCUAGUAACUGCGAGUGAAGCGGGAAAAGCUCAAAUUUAAAAUCUGGCGGUCUUUGGCCGUCCGAGUUGUAAUCUAGAGAAGUGUUACCCGCAUUGGACCGUGUACAAGUCUCCUGGAAUGGAGCGUCAUAGAGGGUGAGAAUCCCGUCUCUGACACGGACUACCAAGGCUUUGUGGUAUGCUCUCAAAGAGUCGAGUUGUUUGGGAAUGCAGCUCAAAAUGGGUGGUAAAUUCCAUCUAAAGCUAAAUAUUGGCGAGAGACCGAUAGCGAACAAGUACCGUGAGGGAAAGAUGAAAAGAACUUUGGAAAGAGAGUUAAACAGUACGUGAAAUUGCUGAAAGGGAAACGCUUGAAGUCAGUCGCGUUGGCCGGGGAUCAGCUUCGCUUUUGCGUGGUGUAUUUCCUGGUUGACGGGUCAGCAUCAAUUUUGACCGCUGGAAAAAGGCUUGGGGAAGGUGGCAGCUCCGGCUGUGUUAUAGCCCCUUGUCGCAUACAGCGGUUGGGAUUGAGGUACUCAGCACGCCGCAAGGCCGGGUUUCGACCACGUUCGUGCUUAGGAUGCUGGCAUAAUGGCUUUAAGCGACCCGUCUUGAAACACGGACCAAGGAGUCUAACAUGCCUGCGAGUGUUUGGGUGGAAAACCCGAGCGCGUAAUGAAAGUGAAAGUUGAGAUCCCUGUCGUGGGGAGCAUCGACGCCCGGACCAGAACUUUUGGGACGGAUCCGCGGUAGAGCAUGUAUGUUGGGACCCGAAAGAUGGUGAACUAUGCCUGAAUAGGGUGAAGCCAGAGGAAAACUCUGGUGGAGGCUCGUAGCGAUUCUGACGUGCAAAUCGAUCGUCGAAUUUGGGUAUAGGGGGCGAAAGACUAAUCGAACCAUCUAGUAGNUGGUUCCUGCCGAAG